rnacentral:rRNA from 1 species
AGCCGUUCUAACGGACGGAUAAUUCCCAGCGAUUUGAUCGGGGGGCAUCCUCUGAUCAGGAAAUGAAUUUCGCCUCGGGAGGGGCUGACGUGAUAUUAGCUAGUUGGUGAGGUAACGGCUCACCAAGGCGAAGAUGUCUAGCGGGUGUGAGAGCACGACCCGCGCCACUGGCACUGAGACACUGGCCAGACUCCUACGGGAGGCUGCAGUCGAGGAUCUUCGGCAAUGGGCGCAAGCCUGACCGAGCGACGCCGCGUGUGCGAUGAAGGCCUUCGGGUUGUAAAGCACAGUCGAGGGGGAGGAAGCCGAAAGGUUGACCUAUCCCUGGAGGAAGGACGGGCUAAGUUCGUGCCAGCAGCCGCGGUAAGACGAACCGUCCUAACGUUGUUCGGAAUCACUGGGCUUAAAGGGCGCGUAGGCGGCUUAUCAAGUCCGGGGUGAAAGCCCCCAGCCCAACUGGGGAAGUGCCUUGGAUACUGGUAGGCUUGAGGGAGGUAGGGGCAACUGGAACUUCCGGUGGAGCGGUGAAAUGCGUUGAUAUCGGAAGGAACGCCGGUGGCGAAAGCGAGUUGCUGGAUCUCUUCUGACGCUGAGGCGCG